AUGACAACAAGCAAUGGUGAAAUUCCUUCAAGUUUCAGACAAGUGGUCAAGAAAGGAGCGGUGAUGUUGAGUUCAGAGGAGAAAACAGAUCGAGUCUGCCCUCGCAUGACCGGAGUGGUCGUGCCUAAUCAAGUCGGCAGCCCGUGCAUGGCCAAUGAUAGGAAGGGGAUCCUCCAGGCUAAUGGAGAACGGUUGCAUCUGAAGCACAUGGCAGAAGGUGGAACCGCGGCUAUGGUCCAUGAGAGGUAUGGGGUAACGGCACCAUAUUCGUAUAAGGAGAUCGUGGGGCAAAUAAUACAACAGCAAGAUGAGCAGUGCCUGAGGGCGGCCACUGUUGUUACCCUCCUCAUUGUUGUUGCUGCUGGAAUCCUAUCAAAUGUAAGUGCUGAUGAUAAGUGA
rnacentral:rRNA from 1 species